rnacentral:rRNA from 1 species
GAUGAACGCUGGCGGCGUGCCUAAUACAUGCAAGUCGAGCGAACAGACGAGGAGCUUGCUCCUCUGACGUUAGCGGCGGACGGGGGAGUAACACGUGGAUAACCUACCUAUAAGACUGGGAUAACUUCGGGAAACCGGAGCUAAUACCGGAUAAUAUAUUGAACCGCAUGGUUCAAUAGUGAAAGACGGUUUUGCUGUCACUUAUAGAUGGAUCCGCGCCUCAUUAGCUAGUUGGUAAGGUAACGGCUUACCAAGGCAACGAUGCGGAGCCGACCUGAGAGGGUGAUCGGCCACAAUGGAACUGAGACACGGUCCAGACUCCUACGGGAGGCAGCAGUAGGGAAUAUUCCGCAAUGGGCGGAAGCCUGACGGAGCAACGCCGCGUGAGUGAUGAAGGUCUUCGGAUCGUAAAACUCUGUUAUUAGGGAAGAACAAAUGUGUAAGUAACUAUGCACGUCUUGACGGUACCUAAUCAGAAAGCCACGGCUAACUACGUG